rnacentral:rRNA from 1 species
GACGAACGCUGGCGGCGUGCUUAACACAUGCAAGUCGAACGGAAAGGCCCUGCUUUUGUGGGGUGCUCGAGUGGCGAACGGGUGAGUAACACGUGAGUAACCUGCCCUUGACUUUGGGAUAACUUCAGGAAACUGGGGCUAAUACCGGAUAGGAGCUCCUGCUGCAUGGUGGGGGUUGGAAAGUUUCGGCGGUUGGGGAUGGACUCGCGGCUUAUCAGCUUGUUGGUGGGGUAGUGGCUUACCAAGGCUUUGACGGGUAGCCGGCCUGAGAGGGUGACCGGCCACAUUGGGACUGAGAUACGGCCCAGGCUCCUACGGGAGGCAGCAGUGGGGAAUAUUGCACAAUGGGCGGAAGCCUGAUGCAGCAACGCCGCGUGCGGGAUGACGGCCUUCGGGUUGUAAACCGCUUUCGCCUGUGACGAAGCGUGAGCGACGGUAAUGGGUAAAGAAGCACCGGCUAACUACGUG